GCCCGUCUGACAGGACGGGCUCACGUUGGGGUGCAUGCGCUGAACUCUAUCAUUUCCUGUGGCAAUAAGGCGAGAGCCAUUACCCUAGCCUCUAGAAAAAGCUCUUUUGCUGCAGCGUCCUGGAGGAGUUCGAAGGUCAACUGCUUGGUGAUCUGGUGUCCAGCUAUGUUUGAAGCUCAUCAUGGGCUUAGUGAAGGCUCCAGUUAGCUUUGGUUACGGUUCAGAGUCGCUGAGCUGUGGGACGGGCAGAACAGAAUCAAGGUCUCAGUGUUCAGCUGAACUUUUGCAAUUCCAGUAACGGUUCCUCAUUCCAGCCCAUCAAAACCCAAGUGACCAUCCCAACAGCCCAUGUUAUGCCUUCUACGCUGGGUGCCUCGCCCUCCAAGCUGUGCUCUGCAGGAGACCAGAGCUGUUCGCAGAGUACUUCAAAAACUGCUAUGCCGGGAUCUGCUUCUGAACACGCAGGGCUCGUGAGAAAUGGAGACUUUAAUGCCGGGAAGUCAUCUCAGGUGCCACCCAGGGAUCUCUUGCGUCUCUACAGGACUUCAGGGGAGGAAAAUGGUUUUGAGCAAUCCUGGCAUCCUGUUUCUGAUCACAUGAGAACGGAAGAUACUUGGAAGUUUGACACCCCUGCCAUUGAGCGCACCCUUAACCAGUCUCUCUUUCUGGAUAGUUUGUGCACUGACCCUCUCCACAGGUUCCAGAAGUUCAAUCCAAACUCUGGGGCAGCUGAGGCAGGAAAGGACCAUUAUAAGGUGCUGCCAGAGAGUAAGCAAGUGGCAGGGAGUAACGGAGCCUGUGAGCCCCAGGACGGAACGUGGCCGAGCGGGAGCAGACUGAUGCCAACGGGACUCCAGGCCAACAAUUUCUUUUCAAAACCUGUAACUCCUUCAUCUCGAGCAUGGAUGCAAGAAGCCUGCACGCUGCAUCCACACGAGAGGGUCUGCGAGCUUGGUGCUUGGAAACAACAGCUGGAGAAAGUGCGAUUGCAAAUAGAGCAAAUGCAGUUACAAAAUGGAGGCGCCUGCCACCAUCCCUCGAUGUAUUCUCCUUCGCUGCCUACACCUGAUCCAGCCCAGUGGAUCAAUAUCCUGAACUCCAAUGAAAACCUACUCAAGGAGAAAGAGCUUCUCAUUGACAGACAAAGACAACACAUAUCCCAGUUGGAGCAGAAGGUCCGUGAAAGUGAACUGCAGGUUCACAGUGCCCUGCUUGGCUGUCCAGCACCCUACGGAGAUGUCUACAUGUUGAGAAUGCAGGAGCUGCAGCGGGAGAACACGUUUCUUCGAGCACAGUUCACAGAGAAGACUGAAUCCCUCAGUAAGGAGAAGAUUGAACUGGAGAGAAAACUGGCUGCUGCAGAGGUGGAUGCAAAGCUGAUCCGGGAGUCGCUGAAGGAAACUAUGCAGAAACAUGCAGAGGAGUUAAAGAAACAGGAAGAAAGGGUAAAGGGAAGAGACAAACACAUUAAUAAUCUUAAAAAGAAAUGCCAGAAGGAAUCUGAACAAAACAGGGAGAGACAACAGAGAAUUGAGACCCUGGAACGAUACCUGGCUGAUCUACCAACCCUUGAGGACCACCAGAAACAGAGUCAGAAGCUGAAGGAAUCUGAACUGAAGAGUACUGCUAUGCAGGAAACAGUGCUGGCGCUGGAAACAGAGCUUGGAGAUGUCCGGGCUGCUUUCAGGGAGCAAGAGAUGCAGCUAGAAACCCAAAAACACAAAGAAAUGGAGCUUCUUUCCACUGUGCGCAGCCUGCAGGACAAGAUGCAGCAGUGUGUAAAGAAUGCAGAGCGAGGACCCCCUGCCCAGGAUGGGGAGAGACAGAAAAUAGAAAAUGACUCUCUGAAGAAAGAAUGCGACUGCCUCAGGAAGAUUGUGGACAAACAGCAGAAGAAGAUGGAGCAGUUGUCCUUGCAAGUAAAGAAUCUGGAAGAACAGGUGGCCCAGGAAGAGGGGACAAGCCAAGCUCUGAAAGAGGAGGCAAUGAGAAGAGAAAAUGCGCUGCAGCAGCUCCGGACCGCUGUGAAAGAGCUUUCAGUCCAGAACCAGGAUCUCAUUGAGAAGAACCUGACCCUUCAGGAACGACUCCGGCAGGCAGAGCUAACGACCCAGCCGCUGCCUGCCGAGACAGCCCGCCUCGCCCAGGAGUUGCACGGCGAGCUGGCCAGUUGUCUGCGGGAUUUGCAGUCUGUCUACAGCAUUGUCACUCAGAGGGCUCAGGGCAAGGAUCCCAACCUCUCUCUGCUCCUAGGCAUUCACUCUGUGCAGUACUCUGCUAAGGAGAAGGACGACUUGCUGAGCCCUGAUGGCCUUGCAAAGAAACUGGUGGAGGUAAAACAGCUUCACAAAGAGGUGGAGGACUUAAGGACGGCAAUAUCUGACAGAUAUGCUCAGGACAUGGGAGACAACUGCAUCACCCAGUAAAGAACACUCCCCAAAGUAAGGCAGGAAAUGAAGACUUGAAACCCUCAGGAGUCUAGAGCUCCUACAACCCAAAACCUAUUCAGCACUUUACCAUCCCUUCGCUCGGGUACAAGAUGGGUGACUUAUCCAAUCCGUGAGAAAUCAGGGGGUUUGUUGCCAGAAGUGUUUAGCUGCUGACUGGCUAACUGGAAUCGUUCAGGGCUUCGGUGUCGGGCUUUGCAGUAGCUUUGAUCUCGUGGAAUGCGUUUAUGUUGUGUUUGCUGGAGCUGGUGUAGUCUCUGCUGGGAGAUGAAUUCUGAAUUGCCUUCCAGGCAUGUCAAAUGCUGAACGUGCAAAUGUGAUGGUUAAAAUCAUCGCUAAAAGGAAAUGUAUGCCCUGGUCUUUCUGAUAAAUUCUCUGAGCAGAUCCUGUGUGACUAAUAAGACCAGAGGAUUAUCAGAGUGUUCAGGGGAUAUCUGUGGACUUCACAGGCAAGCAGGUGUGCCAGUUAUCCCACUGCUGAUUACAUCAAGGUGCUACAGGCUCCUCGGAUGCUGUGUGCACAGUUCUGGCUUCGAUGCUUGUGUAGCCAUUCGUGGAGCAGGACCUGCUUUCCUCAGGCUGCUGAUGCCAUGUACUGAGCUAAAUGUGGGCCAAGGCUAUUUCUUGAAGUCAUUUGUCCUGGCUGCUGGGAGGUCUCUAGGCGUUGGGGUACAGAGCAACACCAGCUGUGAAAGUUGCUCCCUCCCACAGGUUAGCAGGGUGCUGUUCAGCACCAUCCCCGUUCCCUCGCACGCUCCUGGGGUGCGAGCAGGAGAGCUGGUUCCCAGCAGGAGAGCUGGUUCCCAGGCGUCGUGCGGGGACACCUUUGCCCUCUGCCCCUGCAGAGCUGGCUGUGCAAAUGGGAUGGCGGCUGAAACCCCGUCUCGGCCGAUGCUUGGAGCCUCGCGCCUGGCCCUGUCCCAGCAGCUGGGCUGCCCAGGUGGGGAAGAGGAGUGCCCCCAUGUCAUCCUCCUGCAAAACGGGACCCGUCCGGCCAAGAUGGUGAUCCCAUGUGCCUGCCGCUCUCCACGCGGGAGAAAUCUUGGGCCUUUCUUUACAGAGCACCCCAGACAGGGGCGGCAGGACCACGUUCCCACCCCAUCCCGCGUUCUCUCCCUGUCCCCUUGGGCAGUGGGUGUCUGCCCGGUUCCCUGCGCUCUGCCCGGUGCUGUGUGUCGUGUGUGUGUGUGUGUGUGUGUGUCCCGCGUUGGGCGCAUUUACACCAGCCUUCGUCUCGCCCACUUGUUUGUACCGAGUAUUUUGAGUAUAAAAUAAAGCUGCUCUGCUCC